CAAUUCUACACCCAUCUUUAUAGAAUACUGCAAAUCUGGCAAAUGUGGACUCUUUGGAAGAGGAGGGCUUAUCAUGUUUGAUGUGAGUGGUGUCAGUGUUACGUACCAUCCUGUGGACAUCAUUCCUAUUGCACUGAUUGGAAUCAUAGGUGGACUUUUGGGAAGCCUUUAUAAUUAUGUCCUCCACAAAGUUCUCAGACUCUACAAUCUCAUCAACGAG
rnacentral:misc_RNA from 1 species